GGCGGAUGGACACGUCAGAUCCUGGAAAGUGUGGGGCAGAACAUCCGGGCUUUCGAGCAGCAGCCGGGCCUGCCCACCUUGAGACUGAGAUCAACUGGGCCGCGCUGCGUGUGGGGAGCAGGUUGGAGCUGUUGGAACUUCAUUUCAUGUGUGCCUUAAAGGCCUGAUGAAACUGAAGAGUGAAAAUCUUUCACCUCAACAAAAAAGGGGACUCAAAACAGGGGGACCUCAUAAAGGCGGAUGAGGAAUAGUGCCAUGAAUAUGUUGCCUACACGCAAGGUCUCGUUGCCACCUCCUCAAAACAUACAAGGUCCUGUCAGUGACCUCUGAUGGAGAAACUGAGUCUCAGAGAGGAAGUGACAGCCCUGUGGACUCACUGUUGGCAGAGGCGUUUGACAACACAAAAACAGAACAAUAGAGGUGGCGGCCCCUGCCCAUUUCGCAGAUGAGGAAACUGAGGCUCAGAGAGGUGCCAGGAUUUGCCUGAGGACAUAAUGCAGAGGGGAGAGAGCUGGGACCAGAGUCCAGACCUCCUGGCUCCAGGACCAGCUCCUUAUUCCCCCAUCCCUCCCAGGACAAAUGAGUGCGUUUGGGGCAUCGUGCCCGGUGCUUCUUGCCCAGCCCCCCACCUCCACGCAGUUGCCCCCUCCUGCAGCCCUUUCUCCAUGGCCUCCUGCCCAUCACCCCAAUGUGCCAAACUCUUUGCAGCCUCUGGUAUCUUUGCCCCUGCCAGUCCCUCUGCCUGGAGCCCCUGCUGCCUGCUCUGUGCAUAGCUGAUGCCUUUUCCUUUACAUCUUGCUUACAUCCUUACAACCAGGGCAGUCGCAUCCGUGAGGCCCACCUCUUCUUCCUGUGCUGGUCUCGUUUUGUUUCUUUCUUUUACUCCCACAUCCCAAUUGGCUUGCACUGACUUGCUUGCCUGUCGGCGGUGCCCCCUCAAAGCCUCAAGCCCCUGAAGAGCUGGGGGUGGGGGGCUCUGUCAUUUCACCAUGGGGCCUAUGCAAGCUCUGCAUUUAAAAUAUACCUCGUGACUGGGUCACCUGUGCGGCUCGGUUGGUUAAGUGUCCGACUUCGGCUCAGGUCGUGAUCUUACGGUUGGGAGUUUGA